GCCCCGGUAAACGGCGGCCGUAACUAUAACGGUCCUAAGGUAGCGAAAUUCCUUGUCGGGUAAGUUCCGACCUGCACGAAUGGCGUAAUGAUGGCCAGGCUGUCUCCACCCGAGACUCAGUGAAAUUGAACUCGCUGUGAAGAUGCAGUGUACCCGCGGCAAGACGGAAAGACCCCGUGAACCUUUACUAUAGCUUGACACUGAACAUUGAGCCUUGAUGUGUAGGAUAGGUGGGAGGCUUUGAAGUGUGGACGCCAGUCUGCAUGGAGCCGACCUUGAAAUACCACCCUUUAAUGUUUGAUGUUCUAACGUUGGCCCGUAAUCCGGGUUGCGGACAGUGUCUGGUGGGUAGUUUGACUGGGGCGGUCUCCUCCUAAAGAGUAACGGAGGAGCACGAAGGUUGGCUAAUCCUGGUCGGACAUCAGGAGGUUAGUGCAAUGGCAUAAGCCAGCUUGACUGCGAGCGUGACGGCGCGAGCAGGUGCGAAAGCAGGUCAUAGUGAUCCGGUGGUUCUGAAUGGAAGGGCCAUCGCUCAACGGAUAAAAGGUACUCCGGGGAUAACAGGCUGAUACCGCCCAAGAGUUCAUAUCGACGGCGGUGUUUGGCACCUCGAUGUCGGCUCAUCACAUCCUGGGGCUGAAGUAGGUCCCAAGGGUAUGGCUGUUCGCCAUUUAAAGUGGUACGCGAGCUGGGUUUAGAACGUCGUGAGACAGUUCGGUCCCUAUCUGCCGUGGGCGCUGGAGAACUGAGGGGGGCUGCUCCUAGUACGAGAGGACCGGAGUGGACGCAUCACUGGUGUUCGGGUUGUCAUGCCAAUGGCACUGCCCGGUAGCUAAAUGCGGAAGAGAUAAGUGCUGAAAGCAUCUAAGCACGAAACUUGCCCCGAGAUGAGUUCUCCCUGAGACUUUAAGUCUCCUGAAGGAACGUUGAAGACGACGACGUUGAUAGGCCGGGUGUGUAAGCGCAGCGAUGCGUUGAGCUAACCGGUACUAAUGAACCGUGAGGCUUAACCUU
rnacentral:rRNA from 1 species